rnacentral:rRNA from 1 species
GAUGAACGCUGGCGGCGUGCCUAAUACAUGCAAGUCGAGCGAACAGACGAGGAGCUUGCUCCUCUGACGUUAGCGGCGGACGGGUGAGUAACACGUGGAUAACCUACCUAUAAGACUGGGAUAACUUCGGGAAACCGGAGCUAAUACCGGAUAAUAUAUUGAACCGCAUGGUUCAAUAGUGAAAGACGGUUUUGCUGUCACUUAUAGAUGGAUCCGCGCCGCAUUAGCUAGUUGGUAAGGUAACGGCUUACCAAGGCAACGAUGCGUAGCCGACCUGAGAGGGUGAUCGGCGAACGUGGAACUGAGACAGGUGCGCGAAUUCAGCGGGAGGCAGCGGUAGGGAAUCGUCCGCAAUGGGCGAAAGCGUGACGGAGCAAAGCCGCGGGAGUGAUGAAGGUGUUCGGAUCGUAAAACUAUGUUAUUAGGGGAGAUGAAAAGUGUAAGUAACUAUGCACGUCUUGACGGUACCUAAUCAGAGAGCCACGGCUAACUACGUG